rnacentral:rRNA from 1 species
AUUGAACGCUGGCGGCAGGCCUAACACAUGCAAGUCGAGCGGAUGAAGGGAGCUUGCUCCUGGAUUCAGCGGCGGACGGGUGAGUAAUGCCUAGGAAUCUGCCUGGUAGUGGGGAUAACGUCCGGAAACGGGCGCUAAUACCGCAUACGUCCUGAGGGAGAAAGUGGGGGAUCUUCGGACCUCACGCUAUCAGAUGUGCCUAGGUCGGAUUAGCUAGUUGGUGGGGUAAAGGCCUACCAAGGCGACGAUCCGUAACUGGUCUGAGAGGAUGAUCAGUCACACUGGAACUGAGACACGGUCCAGACUCCUAAGGGAGGCAGCAGUGGGGAAUAUUGGACAAUGGGCGAAAGCAUGAUCCAGCCAUGCCGCGUGUGUGAAGAAGGUCUUCGGAUUGUAAAGCACUUUAAGUUGGGAGGAAGGGCAGUAAGUUAAUACCUUGCUGUUUUGACGUUACCAACAGAAUAAGCACCGGCUAACUUCGUG